rnacentral:rRNA from 1 species
UACGGAAGGCAGCAGUGGGGAAUAUUGCACAAUGGGCGCAAGCCUGAUGCAGCCAUGCCGCGUGUAUGAAGAAGGCCUUCGGGUUGUAAAGUACUUUCAGUCGUGAGGAAGGUGUUAAGGUUAAUAACCUUAGCAAUUGACGUUAGCGACAGAAGAAGCACCGGCUAACUCCGUGCCAGCAGCCGCGGUAAUACGGAGGGUGCGAGCGUUAAUCGGAAUUACUGGGCGUAAAGGGCACGCAGGCGGUUAAUUAAGUUGGAUGUGAAAUCCCCGGGCUUAACCUGGGAAUGGCAUUCAAGACUGGUUAGCUAGAGUCUUGUAGAGGGGGUGAAUUCCAUGUGUGCGGUGAAAUGCGUGAGAUGUGGAGGAAUACCGGUGGCGAAGGCGGCCCCUGGGACAAAGACUGACGCUCAUGUGCGAAAGCGUGGGGAGCAAACAGGAUUAGAUACCCUCUGGAGGCUA